CGGGUCUAAUACUGGAUACGACCACCGGCCGCAUGGUCUGGUGGUGGAAAGCUUUUUUGUGGUUUUGGAUGGACUCGCGGCCUAUCAGCUUGUUGGUGGGGUAAUGGCCUACCAAGGCGACGACGGGUAGCCGGCCUGAGAGGGUGACCGGCCACACUGGGACUGAGACACGGCCCAGACUCCUACGGGAGGCAGCAGUGGGGAAUAUUGCACAAUGGGCGCAAGCCUGAUGCAGCGACGCCGCGUGAGGGAUGAAGGCCUUCGGGUUGUAAACCUCUUUCAGUAGGGAAGAAGCGAAAGUGACGGUACCUGCAGAAGAAGCGCCGGCUAACUACGUGCCAGCAGCCGCGGUAAUACGUAGGGCGCAAGCGUUAUCCGGAAUUAUUGGGCGUAAAGAGCUCGUAGGCGGUUUGUCGCGUCUGCCGUGAAAGUCCGGGGCUUAACUCCGGAUCUGCGGUGGGUACGGGCAGACUAGAGUGCAGUAGGGGAGACUGGAAUUCCUGGUGUAGCGGUGAAAUGCGCAGAUAUCAGGAGGAACACCGAUGGC
rnacentral:rRNA from 1 species